AUGCUGGGGAUCCUCUGCACUCUGCUCACUGCUCUAACAUAUGUUGAUGCAGCGAUAGUGCUGACUCAGACGCCUGCUGUCCACUCAGUUCCUACAGGACAAGAGGUUGUCCUCAACUGCAACAUUCAGAGAUAUGAUGGAAAUUCUGUGUCAUGGUAUAAACAGGUUCCUGGUGAAGCUCCUCAGUAUGUUCUCAGAUUUCUCCAUGGGAACAAUGCUCUCGAGUUUGGAUCAGGAUUCUCUUCAGACCGGUUCAACUCUAAAUCCUCUUCAAGCACAGAAUACCAGUUCAUCAUAAAGCGUUCAGAGACAGGAGACUCUGCUCAGUAUUACUGUCAGACAUGGGAUGACUCUGCUCGUGAAGCUGUAUCACAGUGGUUCACACUGUGA